ACUUCUUGCUUUUUUUUAAAAUCAGAAAUGGCUAAAAAGACCUUACAUUUUGUUAAAAUAGUCAAAGUUGAUAAAAUAAUAUUGUGUCGUAGGUACCUACUAAAUAUACGUUCGUAUAUUUGAUACCUACUGACUAAUUACCUACUCGAAUAAGCAGGUAAUCGGAUACGGAGAAUGCACUGGUGUAAUCGUAAUAAAACUAAUUACUUACCUCGGCUAGGGCUUUUAGUACACUACCGAACACAAUACAAUAUCAUACGCAAAGUUCGUGUAAACGAAUGUAUUUGUCAAUAAAGACAACUUAAAACCGACUCGGAGCACUUCAAAGGGUUCAACACAACGAUUAUUCGGGGGGAAUUACAAAUUACGUUAACACUACUAAAUUAUUACUAAAUUAUAAAAUAUACAAAAACACUUUAAACCUAGGGCCGGAGCUCUAAAGAAUUAAGGACAUAUUAACUUGGCAACUCGCUUGCUUCACGAAAACGAACUACAAGUUGGUCCAGUUGCCAAAGAAGCUGGAAGGCUCAUUUGACACCUUGACCACUCAUUGUUACCAACCACAUCACCGAACGGUGCUGGAAGGGUUAAAUUACCUGUUUAUACACAUACGUGUUACCAUUAAGGCAUAUCCGUCUAACAUAUGCCCUCCGAGGUUUACUCAGCUAUGACUCAGCGAGCUAAGUUCCCAGCAGAGGAAAUCACGGUGUGAGACAUAGACAUGACUUAAUGAUAACACUGUCCGUACGGACCCUGCUGCCCCCCAUGAGUUUCUCGGAUGAGAAAUUGGUGAGCAGAGAAGAAAGAAGAAAAUUCUCAAAUUUGGAACCACAGCGCACCCUAGGUGUUGAAGCAGGCGCGUACGUGACCCACUGAGCCACCAGAGAUCGAUCACUCGAAAUACAAUGUACUCAACAAAUACACGUAACUACCUAGCUCUAGCCUAGGAUACACGACAUCGAAAAAGUUGCCAGUUAGCAAUAAUACGAUCCUUUUUUGUUUCAGAUAUCCGUCCAAAAAGGUGAGAAUAUGGAUCGAUUGAAGAUAAGCCGCCUGAGCUCUGAACGAUGAAGCGAAUAAGAGCUACGUACGUAGCUGCGAGUUCGAUGUCCAAGUCAACAUGUCCAAAACAGGUUUAUGGGUCAUUAACGCCUCCGAGCCGGUUUGUAUUUACGUUCGUAUUCAUUCUUACGAUUAAGUGCAACGUUUAGGAAGAAAAAAUGUGCAAAUUAUAGAAUAAGUUUGUACUUUUAUUCGAUGUAUAGGUUACAACAUGCAUUGUAAAUACUGAUUAUUGUUUAUUGAUAAAAUAAAGAAUAAAUACCCAAAAUAGUUUUGUAAAUUAUUACGAUACUCAGUCUUACUUCUUCAGACUUAUACAGUAAAGUAACGUUCGUUAAAUACAAAAAAAAAAAAAAAAUUAUUAAGGAAAAAACAAUAAAAAUUAAAACAACA